AACGAACGCUGGCGGCAGGCCUAACACAUGCAAGUCGAGCGCGCCCUUCGGGGUGAGCGGCGGACGGGUGAGUAACGCGUGGGAACGUGCCCUUCUCUGCGGAAUAGCCUCGGGAAACUGAGAGUAAUACCGCAUACGCCCUUUGGGGGAAAGAUUUAUCGGAGAAGGAUCGGCCCGCGUUGGAUUAGGUAGUUGGUGGGGUAAUGGCCCACCAAGCCGAAGAUCCAUAGCUGGUUUGAGAGGAUGAUCAGCCACACUGGGACUGAGACACGGCCCAGCCUCCUACGGGAGGCAGCAGUGGGGAAUCUUAGACAAUGGGGGCAACCCUGAUCUAGCCAUGCCGCGUGAGUGAUGAAGGCCUUAGGGUUGUAAAGCUCUUUCAGCUGGGAAGAUAAUGACGGUACCAGCAGAAGAAGCCCCGGCUAACUCCGUG
rnacentral:rRNA from 1 species